rnacentral:miRNA from 1 species
CCCCUUUGUCAAUUACACUGC